GGCGGUGUACCAGAACACGUUCGACGGUGAGGGAUGAAAGCUGGGGGAGCAAACCGGAUUAGAUACCCGGGUAGUCCCAGCUGUAAACGAUGCAGACUCGGUGAUGCAUUGGCUUGUGGCCAAUGCAGUGCCGCAGGGAAGCCGUUAAGUCUGCCGCCUGGGAAAGUACGUACGCAAGUAUGAAACUUAAAGGAAUUGGCGGGGGAGCACCACAAGGGGUGAAGCCUGCGGUUCAAUUGGAGUCAACGCCAGAAAUCUUACCUGGGGCGACAGCAGAAUGAAGGUCAAGCUGAAGACUUUACCAGACAAGCUGAGAGGUGGUGCAUGGCCGUCGCCAGCUCGUGCCGUGAGAUGUCCUGUUAAGUCAGGUAACGAGCGAGACCCCUGCGUCUAGUUGCUACCAUUACUCUCUGGAGUAGUGGAGCGAAUUAGACGGACCGCCACAGUUAAUGUGGAGGAAGGAAGGGGCCACGGCAGGUCAGUAUGCCCCGAAACCCUAGGGCUACACGCGGGCUGCAAUGGUAUUGACAAUGUGUUCCGAAUCCGAAAGGAGGAGGCAAUCAUCAAACGAUACCUCAGUUAUGACUGAGGGCUGUAACUCGCCCUCACGAAUAUGGAAUCCCUAGUAACUGCGCGUCACUACCGCGCGGUGAAUACGUCCCUGCUCCUUGCACACACCGCCCGUCGUUUCAUCGAAGUUGGCCUUUAGUGAGGUAGUGUCUUGUUGGCAUUAUCGAGCUUGAGGUCAGUGACGAGGGAAAAGUCGUAACAAGGUA
rnacentral:rRNA from 1 species